UAUGCCUAAUAAUGUCCAAUUCCAAGCCUAUCCUCAGGAAAUAGCUCAGUCAUUCUGGGUGAAGACAUCAUUGGUCAUCAUAGAAUGUGGCUUCCUCUUUGGCAUUUAGAAACCGUAGGAGAACAUCAGAAUUCGUGAACUUUAUGGAUUUUAUUUAAAACUUUGUAUUAUCUUCUGAAGAAACAUGCCUCGUAACAAAAUACAAUAUUCUGUAAUUAUAUGAUUUUAAGAUUUUAAUUUCUUUACGAAUUUCACCGAUUUUAAUUGUGUUAUUGGUCAGCGGUUGUCAAACUUUAGUAACACGAGGACCCCUUUAAAUUGAAAUUUUUUUUCGCUGUUCCUCAAACAAAAAUUAAGUGUUUUAAUUAGUAUAAAUUUAAUUCUACGAAAAAAUAGUUUUCAUUCUGUAAAUCAUAUUUUUUAUAAACAUAUUUUUAUAAAUUUUUGGAUGUGACUCGCGGAAUUAUGAAUUAUUGCCUUUUUAUUUUGUUUCAAUUCUGUGUCAAAGCUUCACAGUUCACAAGAAACGGAAUCUAUAAACCAUAACUUGUUUCUAAGCCAUGGUAUUGACCCGGUGGGUUAGCGGCAAUUUUAUGGACUUACAACGCUAAGAUCUGGGGUUCAUUUCCCCACGGCUGACUGCUUGCUUUUACCUAUAAUUUUAUAUAUAUGUAUUCCUUCUAGCACUUUUGCACGAUAACAACAAAACCACUUGUAAUAAAAUUAAUCGGUUCUGAACCUGUUCUAAAUCUUAUUUUAAAUAUCAUUUGUAUUAUAAAAAUAGAUAAAAUAUUAAAAAAUAUGAUUAAACAAUUAAUACUUUCUUCUUAAAAUAAAGCAUGAAGGGAAAUUAGGUCAAGAAAUGGCUGCAGUUUUUCGUUAUUUUUUCGUGAAUGUAUUCUGAAGUUCUUUUUCGUUAUAUUCGAAAUGUUAGUAAAAUAUAAUCGUGUUUUAAUAACCUAUAAAGUAGAAAGCAGAUGUUUCCAAAAUGCUAUCACGAUUUCAUUAUAAAUAUGACAUGUAUCAGAAAAUUCAUAAACCAAAUUUUUCUCACUAUAAUAAAACUUUGAUUUAUACAACUUUAUCGGUUAAGGUUUUGAUAUUAAAAGGUUAAACUACUGGAAAGUAUGUCGUUUUUGUUGUAUUUACUUUAGUUUACAGCUCCUUCUAUUUAGUGUUUAACCGCAAAGUUUUAGUUUUAUAUGUUUUUAGGGUUAGUAUUUUUCAAUAUGAUGUUUGGGAUGGAAGAUUUGCUGUAAAGAGUUAAUACCUGGAGGAAUACCUUAUGAUUACAGUUUAACUCGUGAUUUUUGUUCGUA
rnacentral:lncRNA from 1 species